UGAGUUGGCUAGGUGGUCGCGGCCGUGAUCUCGGUCGAGGAACGUCCGGACUCCAUAGGGCAGGGUGGUUGCUAACGGCAACCCAAGGUGACUUGCGGGAUAGUGCCACAGAAAAUAGACCGCUGACCUGGCUUCUUAUAAGCGAGGAAUCAGUAAGGGUGAAACGGUGGUGUAAGAGACCACCAGCGGCGUCGGUGACGGCGUCGGCUCGGUAAACCCCACCCGGAGCAAGGUCAAGACGAGACUCUUCCGCGAUGUGAACUUCGAGGGAGAUCUCAACGCGAACGUUCGAGGGCGGCCCGCCCGAGUUCGCGGGUAGACCGCACGAGCGAGUCGGCGACGGCUCGCCCAGAUGGAUGGCCACCCACGACAGAAUCCGGCGUAUCGGCCAACUCACCUC
rnacentral:RNase_P_RNA from 1 species